rnacentral:rRNA from 1 species
GUGGAUGCCUUGGCAGUCAGAGGCGAUGAAAGACGUGAUAGCCUGCGAAAAGCUCCGGGGAGGCGGCAAAUAUCCUUUGAUCCGGAGAUGUCUGAAUGGGGGAACCCACCUACUUUAAGGUAGGUAUCGCAACAUGAAUACAUAGUGUUGCAAGGCGAACGAGGGGAAGUGAAACAUCUCAGUACCCUUAGGAAAAGAAAUCAAUUGAGAUUCCCUCAGUAGCGGCGAGCGAACGGGGAUCAGCCCAUUAAGUUA